UUAAUGUCUAGGAGAAGUUCUAUUCAGUUCAAGGAGAAAGGAUGCUACCCUCUUAAGUAGUAAAUAAGUAGGUGAUUGACUUGAAAUAUCAUCUCUUAUAAACUACUUAGAAGGGGAGACACCUGAAUUCAAAAAAUGAAAAAAAAAAUUAGCAUCUUGAUUGACCCAUUGAUCACCCAAUCAUUUCGUUUUUCAUAUAAUUGUGAUUUAAUUCCGACAAAUAUUCACCAAAUCGAUUGGUACCUUUUUAAGUAGUAAAUAAGUAGGUGAGUGAUUCGAAUUCUCACCUCUUAUAAACUGCUUUAUAAGAUAUUCACCAGUAUCACCAUCCAAACAAGCAAAGCGACAAAUAAAUCCUCGAAAGGGUAGUAUUUUUAUAAUGCGUUUCCAACGCCAUUAGAAGGUGCCUCAAAAUAGCCGUACAAAUUUUGUUAUCAUAAAUUAAACAAUUAAAAUUUAAUAAAGCAACAAAUUAAUAACAUCAGUGA